rnacentral:rRNA from 1 species
GAAUAUUUGACAAUGGGGGGAACCCUGAUCCAGCCAUGCCGCGUGUGUGAAGAAGGCCUUUUGGUUGUAAAGCACUUUAAGCGAGGAGGAGGCUACUCUAGCUAAUACCUAGAGAUCGUGGACGUUACUCGCAGAAUCAGCACCGCCUAACUCUGUGCCAUCAGCCGCGGUAAUACAGAGGGUGCAAGCGUUGAUCGGAUUUACUGGGCGUAAAGCGCGCGUAGGUGGGAAAUUAAGUCAAAUGUGAAAUCCCCGAGCUUAACUUGGGAAUUGCAUUCGAUACUGGUUGGCUAGAGUAUGGGAGAGGAUGGUAGAAUUCCAGGUGUAGCGGUGAAAUGCGUAGAGAUCUGGAGGAAUACCGAUGGCGAAGGCAGCCAUCUGGCCUAAUACUGACACUGAGGUGCGAAAGCAUGGGGAGCAAAC